rnacentral:rRNA from 1 species
UACGUAGGUGGCAAGCGUUGUCCGGAAUUAUUGGGCGUAAAGCGCGCGCAGGCGGCCUCUUAAGUCUGAUGUGAAAUCUUGCGGCUCAACCGCAAGCGGCCAUUGGAAACUGGGGGGCUUGAGUACAGAAGAGGAGAGUGGAAUUCCACGUGUAGCGGUGAAAUGCGUAGAUAUCAGGAAGAACACCCGUGGCUAAGGCGGCUCUCUAGUACGGUACUGACGCUGAGGAGCGAAAGCAUGGGGAGCGAACAGG